rnacentral:rRNA from 1 species
UACGUAGGUGGCAAGCGUUGUCCGGAUUUACUGGGCGUAAAGAGCGCGCAGGCGGUCGUUCAAGUCGCGUGUGAAAGCCCCCGGCUCAACUGGGGAGGGUCACGCGAUACUGAUCGACUGGAAGGCAGGAGAGGGUAGUGGAAUUCCCGGUGUAGUGGUGAAAUUCGUAGAUAUUCGCAAGAACACCAGUGGCGAAGGCGGCUCACUGGCCCGAUACUGACGCUGAGGCACGAAAGCGUGGGGAGCAAACAGG